rnacentral:pre_miRNA from 1 species
UUUUAUAGAUAAACAAAGAAAGUGGUUUCCUGAAAUGGAAUCUACUUUUGGUGAUGACGCUGUAAA